AGCGAACGCUGGCGGCAGGCUUAACACAUGCAAGUCGAGCGCCCCGCCAGGGGAGCGGCAGACGGGUGAGUAACACGUGGGAACGUACCCUUUGGUUCGGAACAACCCAGGGAAACUUGGGCUAAUACCGGAUAAGUCCGCGAGGAGAAAGAUUUAUCGCCGAAGGAUCGGCCCGCGUCUGAUUAGCUAGUUGGUGUGGUAACGGCGCACCAAGGCGACGAUCAGGAGCUGGUCUGAGAGGAUGAUCAGCCACACUGGGACUGCGACACGGCCCAGACUCCUACGGGAGGCAGCAGUGGGGAAUAUUGGACAAUGGGGGCAACCCUGAUCCAGCCAUGCCGCGUGAGUGAUGAAGGCCCUAGGGUUGUAAAGCUCUUUCGGGGGGGAAGAUAAUGACGGUACCCACAGAAGAAGCCCCGGCUAACUUCGUG
rnacentral:rRNA from 1 species